AGGGUCAAAGCUGGUGAAGUUCUGGGGAUUAACGCAGCCCCGGGACACCCAGGAAGCAGCCCCGGCCUCCCUCGGCGGCGGCCGGCGAGAGACUCGAGUUAUUUUUGAAAAGCAAGCGAGGCCUGCAGGCGGCCCUGGCAGAACUCGGAGCUGGAAGAUGGGCGAGCCAGGAGCAGAGCGAAACAGACAGCUCCUGCCGAGCCCACGCCCGGUCCCUAUGACGUCAGCCCCACGCAUUGUGACAUAAGACGGUGGCGGUGGCGGCAGGGGACGGGGGGAGGCCUCCUUGCACCCCCCUCCCCGCCUUGGGUGCACUUUUAUAAAUUGUGGAGAUACAGUGCCCUCUGCUGGCCUCUGUGGCACCUGCACACAUAGGGUGCACAUAAACUCAGGACUCUUACUGGAGGAAACCUGAAAACCAAGUCAAAAUGACUCAACAGCCAGAAUAAUGUCAGGAUGGGAAAAAAUAUGCUAUGUGAGCAAAACCUGAUGUCGUUGUGGAGACGGGGUCUCAUGUAGACCAGGCUAGCUUCAAACUCACUGUCUUGUUAGGAAUGACCUUUAACUCCCAGCCCGUCUGCUUCUGCCUCUUAAGUGUUGGGAACCCAGUCCUUACACCACAACGCUCUGCCCAAAAAGAAAAAAAGGCCAAAUCUUUGGAAAGCGAGUCCCGGGGGCCAGGCAUUGCUAACAGAUGUUAAAUCACGUAAGUCCUUAGGACAGCCCUAUGUGAGUCAAGGUAAUAUCGCCACCCUUAUUUUACACCUGAGGGAAUGGUAGCAGAGAGAGGUGAAGUCAAUUUCCUAAUGCCACACAGCCAUUCAGAGGUAGAGCUGACAUUUAUACCCAGGCCAUCUGGCUCCAUGUGCUGCCUGCCCGGUAGGGGCAGCAUUAAGUAGGGCAAUUUGUCCAGAGAGGAGUCCUGUGAAGAGGCUGACAUUUGAGCUAAAAUGCAGUAAGACAAGGCAAGUCCAGGGGGCAGAAGGGUCCAGAUGGUGAGGACACUGAGUGCAAAGCCCCGGAGGCUGGAACGCAAGGAGACUAGCGUUAGCUGAAGUGGAGGACAGACGCGGUCACAAGGGUGCUAGCCCAGACACAUGGGGGUGACAUGGCACCCCGUCCCUCCUCCAGGACAUUCUGGAUCUUCCUCGCUGUUCUGAGGAACGCUCAGAAGUGUGGCCUAAAAUGUUUCUUGACAGGAGCAAAGGGCCCUUUCCUCCAGAGUCAGGCCAAUUAGGCUCAGGACAAGCUGAUCCUCUGCCCUGCACUGUGAAGAAACAGCCUUUGCUGGUCACCCACCCCCUGCUUAGCCUCUGCCCACAGCUCUCCCGCUCCCGGGUGAUGGCCUUGGUGCCUGGCAGAGUGGCAGGUGGCUCUACGCUCCCUCACCCAGACACAGGAACACAGAGGACACCUUGCGUCCGCCCUGGCGGGUGCAGAGGCCAGAAUCCAGUCAUAGCCCAGUGAGGGGGUGCAGCAUCCCAAGGCUGGCUUUCGGGGGGGGGGCACUGUCAGGGGGACUCGCAAGGGCUCCUUCGUGCUUUAGACGGACCCUGUGCCGUCUGCCAUGUGGCUACCCUCCUGUCAGUAUUAGGAAAACGAAUUCUUACCCUAUAGUGUUGUUGUGGAAAUCAAACAGAGCAUAUGUGAGAAGGUACAUUCUGGGGGCUGAGAAUGUUCUAGAGCUUAUCUGGUAUGUAAGAUGUGACAAGCUGUGUGUCUUUCUAUAUAUAUAUAUAUUUUAUGGCUCAAUUUUUUUUUUCCGGCAGGCAAAGCCCCUGGCCCUUGGCUAAUACCACAUAAUGUUAGCUAGCAUUGGUAUGGAAUGUUCCAUAAAUAUUUGUUGAGUAGGUCCCAGGACCUUUCCACGCAGCAUUUAUCAUUUAUUUCAUCCACAGAGCUCUGGAGGCCUCAGACUCGACACUGUGUCUGGGAUUGAGUUCUUCUGCUCAUCUGUCUCUUCCUCCUUCCUCAGGCUUCCCUAGCUGCCACAGCUUCAGCUCAGAAAAGAUGUCUCCCAGCACUCCGGAGGCAGGACACAAGUGGAUCUCUGAGAGUCUGAAGCCGGUCUGGUCUAUAUAGUAAAUUCCAGGCCAGCCAAGCCAGCCAGCCAGCCCUACAAAGUGAGACCCUCAGAAAAAAAUAAUGAAGGAAAAUGAAAAUGUGUAUGCCUAUCUUGGCAUAGCAGCCCACACCGCUAAUUCCAGUCCUUGGAAGGCUGAGGAGAUCCGCCUGCCUCUGCUUCCCAAGUACUGGGAUUAAGGGCAUGUGCCACCACAC